rnacentral:rRNA from 1 species
GACGAACGCUGGCGGCGUGCCUAAUACAUGCAAGUCGAACGAAGCUGUUUUAACUGGUGCUUGCACCGACUUAAACAACUGAGUGGCGAACGGGUGAGUAACACGUGGGUAACCUGCCCCAAAGCGGGGGAUAACAUUUGGAAACAGAUGCUAAUACCGCAUAAUCACAGAAACCACAUGGUUUCUGUGUCAAAGAUGGUUUCGGCUUUCACUUUGGGAUGGACCCGCGGCGUAUUAGCUAGUUGGUAAGGUAAUGGCUUACCAAGGCAAUGAAACGUAGCCGAACUGAGAGGUUGAUCGGCCACAUUGGGACUGAGACACGGCCCAAACUCCUACGGGAGGCAGCAGUAGGGAAUCUUCCACAAUGGACGAAAGUCUGAUGGAGCAACGCCGCGCGAGUGAAGAAGGUUUUCGGAUCGUAAAACUCUGUUGUCAGAGAAGAACGUGUGCGAGAGUAACUGUUCGUGCAGUGACGGUAUCUGGCCAGAAAGCCACGGCUAACUACGUGCCAGCCGCCGCCGUAA